CCUACGGGAGGCAGCAGUGAGGAAUAUUGGUCAAUGGCCGAGAGCCUGAACCAGCCAAGUCGCGUGAGGGAGUACUGCCCUAUGGGUUGUAAACCUCUUUUGUCGGGGAGCAAAGGCCGGAAGUGUUCGGCCGUGAGAGUACCCGACGAAAAAGCCUCGGCUAACUCCGUGCCAGCAGCCGCGGUAAUACGGAGGAUGCGAGCGUUAUCCGGAUUUAAUGGGUUUAAAGGGUGCGCAGGCGGAUUUUUAAGUCAGCGGUAAAAUCGUGGGGCUCAACCCCAUCCAGCCGUUGAAACUGGGGAUCUUGAGUGUGCGAGAGGUAUGCGGAAUGCGUGGUGUAGCGGUGAAAUGCAUAGAUAUCACGCAGAACCCCGAUUGCGAAGGCAGCAUACCGGUGCACAACUGACGCUCAGGCACGAAAGCGUGGGUAUCGAACAGGAUUAGAUACCCCUGUAGUC
rnacentral:rRNA from 1 species